UAGAGGAAGUAAAAGUCGUAACAAGGUUUCCGUAGGUGAACCUGCGGAAGGAUCAUUAAUGAAACUUCAAAGUCGGCUUUGUCAUCUGUGCUGGUGGAGACACAUGUGCACGUUGACAAAGUUGCAAACCCCACACACCUGUGCAUCUAUGACUCUGAGUACCGCUUUGCAUGGGCCGUCAAACGCCCUGGUACUCGAGUAACUUUCACACACUCUGAAUGUAAUGGAAUGUCUAUUGUACAAUGUACAACCAAAAACAACUUUCAACAACGGAUCUCUUGGCUCUCGCAUCGAUGAAGAACGCAGCGAAAUGCGAUAAGUAAUGUGAAUUGCAGAAUUCAGUGAAUCAUCGAAUCUUUGAACGCACCUUGCACCCUUUGGUAUUCCGAAGGGUACACCCGUUUGAGUGUCAUUGUAAUCUCACUACAACCGCUUUUUUGUGGUUGUAUGUGGACUUGGAUGUUGCCGUGUAACAAACGGCUCGUCUGAAAUGCCUGAGUGUACCCUGCUUUGCGGCGUAUUUGGUGUGAUAAAUCUUCACCGGAGUUGA
rnacentral:misc_RNA from 1 species